rnacentral:rRNA from 1 species
UUCGAAUUAAACCACAUGCUCCACCGCUUGUGGUUUAAUUCGAAGCAACGCGAAGAACCUUACCAGGGCUUGACAUCCCGCUGACCCCUCCAGAGAUGGAGGUUUCCUUCGGGACAGCGGUGACAGGUGGUGCAUGGUUGUCGUCAGCUCGUGUCGUGAGAUGUUGGGUUCAGUCCCGCAACGAGCGCAACCCUUGUCGUUAGUUGCCAGCAUUUCGGAUGGGCACUCUAACGAGACAGCCGGUGAAAGCCGGAGGAAGGUGGGGAUGACGUCAAAUCAUCAUGCCCCUUAUGUCCUGGGCUACACACGUGCUACAAUGGCUGGUACAAAGGGCAGCGAACCCGCGAGGGGGAGCCAAUCCCAAAAAGCCAGUCUCAGUUCGGAUCGCAGGCUGCAACUCGCCUGCGUGAAGCCGGAAUCGCUAGUAAUCGCGGAUCAGCAUGCCGCGGUGAAUACGUUCCCGGGCCUUGUACACACCGCCCGUCACACCACGAGAGUUUGCAACACCCGAAGUCGGUGAGGCAACCUUUUAGGAGCCAGCCGCCGAAGGUGGGGCAGAUGAUUGGGGUGAAGUCGUAACAAGGUAUCCCUACCGGAAGGUGGGGAUG